rnacentral:rRNA from 1 species
AUUGAACGCUGGCGGCAGGCCUAACACAUGCAAGUCGAGCGAGCGGCGGACGGGUGAGUCAUGUCUGGGAAACUGCCUGAUGGAGGGGGAUAACUACUGGAAACGGUAGCUAAUACCGCGUACCAUCCGAUGUGCCCAGAUGGGAUUCGCUAGUCGGUGGGGUAACGGCUCACCUAGGGGACGAUCCCUAGCUGGUCUGAGAGGAUGACCAGCCACACUGGAACUGAUAAACGGUCCAGACUCCGACGGGAGGCAGCAGUGGGGAAGAUUGCACAAUGGGCGCAAGCCUGAUGCAGCCAUUCCGCGUGUGUGAAGAAGGGCUUCGGGUUGUAAAGCACUUUCAGCGGGGAGGCGUUACCCGCAGAAGAAGCACCGGCUAACUCCGUGCCAGCAGCCGCGGUAAUAC